CUGGCUUUCCUCCCCCCCCGCCCCCCACCCCUUGACCCUGCCGCACCCCGACCCGCGCACUCGAGCCCCCGCGCGGGACCCUGGCCUCGCCCUCGAGCCCGCCUCAGCGACCGUUUGCAGGCGGGAGACGGGGGCGGGGCGCUCAACCGCCUGCCUAUCCUACUCAGUCCCGCCUCCCGACGCCGCCGUAACCCAGGGCAACGAGGCGGGGCGAAUGAGGUGCGGAAGUAAGAACUGGAGAGCAGGAGCCAAUAAGAGAACUCUUUACUGGUUGAACACAAAUCCAUCAUCCCUUUCUUGCUUGGAGUUUUAACCUUUGAAAGCCCUGCCCACAGUCUCCUCUGGAGGGUGUUUUCUGCACUAGGGAGAGACUUGGCCCUGCAUUCAUGCUUAACUAUUUCUCUCAAUAAAUCCUUCUGAUUUCAA